AUGUCCCGUUAUCGAGGACCUCGUUUAAAAAAAAUACGCCGUCUGGGAGCUUUACCAGGACUCACUAGAAAAACACCUAAAUCCGGAAGUAAUCUUAAAAAAAAAUUCAAUUCUGGGAAAAAGGAGCAAUAUCGUAUUCGUCUUCAAGAAAAACAGAAAUUGCGUUUUCAUUAUGGUCUGACAGAACGACAAUUACUUAGAUAUGUACAUAUCGCUGGAAAAGCAAAAAGGUCAACAGGCCAGGUUUUACUACAAUUACUUGAAAUGCGUUUGGAUAAUAUCCUUUUUCGAUUGGGUAUGGCUUCAACCAUUCCUGGGGCCCGCCAAUUAGUCAACCAUAGACAUAUUUUAGUUAAU
rnacentral:rRNA from 1 species